rnacentral:piRNA from 1 species
UCAAAGUGACUGGAACAAAAAAGG